rnacentral:rRNA from 1 species
CCGUUCGGAGGUAAACGAGUAGGCCCUCGAAGGAAGUUGGCGGGGGGACUCGGGCGAUAGAUAAUGCCUGUCGGUGCUGCCUCGCUUCCCCAAAAGGACUUGGCGUGCCGAUCAGUGCCUUAGCUUUCGCCUCAUAUCCUCAUCGGCCUCUGACGCAGCGACCGGUGGGCUGCGCCACAAGCAGUCGGCCUUACUAGCUGGGAAAACGCAGGUCGCCAGUACGUGAAACCGUUGUCACCCAGUUGAGUAGCCCCCCCACAAUAGUCGGCGGGUGGACUGACCGUAGGACAUAGCUCUCAGGGGCUUACCUGCGCCCUCCCCUCGUAGGAGCGCUCUUCAGCAGGCCGGGAUGUUGCAGUCCUCGCCGGUUCACCGUAAGGCGUCCGGUCUGCUGUGGCGCCUGGUGGCUGGCGGAAUUGCGUGCGGGCUGCAGGCGGUCUGCAGCGAGUAGGUCGGUCACCCACUCGACCCGUCUUGAAACACGGACCAAGGAGUUUAACAUGUACGCGAGUCAUUGGGUCUUGCACAGGCCCAAAGGCGCAAUGAAAGUGAAGGUCGGCUUUCGCCGUCCGCGUUGGGAUCGGGGGCUUCGGCUUCUGCGCACCAACGGCUCGUCCACGUCGCAACGUCGACCGGGCGAAGCUAGAGCGUACACGUUGAGACCCGAAAGAUGGUGAACUAUGGCUGGGCAGGACGAAGCCAGAGGAAACUCUGGUGGAGGUCCGCAGCGGUUCUGACGUGCAAGUCGAUCGUCAGACCUGGCUAUAGGGGCGAAAGACUAAUCGAACCAUC